rnacentral:rRNA from 1 species
AUACGUAGGGUGCGAGCGUUGUCCGGAUUUAUUGGGUUUAAAGGGUGCGUAGGCGGGGAGAUAAGUCAGCCUUUAAAGCCAGCCGCUUAACGGUUCGGUAGGGGGCUGAUACUGUUUUCUUGAGAGGGCUCGGCGCUGGCGGAAUUUGUGGUGUAGCGGUGAAAUGCAUAGAUACCACAAGGAACACCGAUCGCGUAGGCAGCUAGCGAGGGCCUUUCUGACGCUGAGGCACGAAAGUGCGGGGAGC